rnacentral:sRNA from 1 species
UAUAAUAUCCGCUUGCCGAAGACAGUAGGUGCAUUUUGCGUAAAGAUUACGGUCUGCCUACCGAGGAAAAGGAACUUAUUAUUUAAAGUUUUCAGACCUUUUCUGUCUUUGCAGAGAAGGUCUUUUU